UCAGACGAUGCGUCAUGCAUAUCAAUAAGCGGAGGAAAAGAAACUAACAAGGAUUCCCUUAGUAACGGCGAGUGAAGCGGGAAGAGCUCAAAUUUGAAAUCUUCAAGGUUCUACCUUGACGAAUUGUAGUUUAAAGAAGUGUUUUCUGUUAGUGGAGUGGCAAAAGUUCUUUGGAAUAGGACAUCAUAGAGGGUGAGAAUCCCGUAUUUGGUCAUUCCUUCUAGCUUUGUGAUACACUUUCAAAGAGUCGGAUUGUUUGGGAAUGCAGUCCAAAAUGGGUGGUAAAUUUCAUCUAAAGCUAAAUAUUGGCGAGAGACCGAUAGCGAACAAGUACCGUGAGGGAAAGGUGAAAAGAACUUUGAAAAGAGAGUUAAACAGUACGUGAAAUUGUCAAAAGGGAAGCGUUUGACACCAGUGUUGUUUUCUCGAAAAUCAAUUAAAAAGAGUUGGAUUUUGUGUUGUAUUGACCUUAACAGCUUGCUUCACUCUUUUCCUGCUUUUUUUAAUGCACUUUUCGUUUAACAAGUCAACAUCAGUUUCUUUUGUUGUAAAAGGGUCAUUGGAAGGUGGCUUUCUCUUCGGAGAAAGUGUUUAUAGCCUUUGAUCUCUGCAAUCGGAGAGACUGAGGUCUGCAGCGUAGAUCCUUCGGGGUUAGAUACAUUUGUGCUAAGCUACAGCUUUUCAUAGACAACUUGUUGACUAUGUUUAGUCUUGUAACUUACCCGCUUAUGCUAUUUUACCUACGCUUAGGAUGUUGAUAUGCAUGACUGAUAU
rnacentral:rRNA from 1 species